rnacentral:rRNA from 1 species
GACGAACGCUGGCGGCGUGCUUAACACAUGCAAGUCGAACGAGUGGCGAACGGGUGAGUAACACGUGGGUGAUCUGCCUUGCACUUCGGGAUAAGCUUGGGAAACUGGGUCUAAUACCGGCUAGGGCAAGAUGAGCUCGCGGCCUAGCAGCUUGUUGGUGGGGUAAUGGCUACCAGGGCGCGAUGGCUAGCCGGCCUGAGAGGGUGUACGGCCACAUUGGGACUGAGAGACGGCCCAGACUCCUACGGGAGGCAGCAGUGGGGAAUAUUGCACAAUGGGCGGAAGCCUGAUGCAGCUACGCCGCGUGGGGGAUGAAGGCCUUCGGGUUGUAAAGUACUUUCAGCGGGGAGGCGUUACCCGCAGAAGAAGCACCGGCUAACUCCGUGCCAGCAGCCGCGGUAAUAC